AGACAGUUGUGUUUAGACAUGUGAUAGACAGGUGUGUUGGAACAUGUGAUAGAAAGGUGUGUUGGGACAUGUUACAGACAGGUGUGUUGGGACAUGUGAUAGACAGGUGUGUUGGGACAUGUACCCAAAAUCCACUGUUGUCGUAUUUACAGACAUCCAGGAUUCAGAAGCAUUUGUUGCAUUUGCACUUCAAUAUUUUCAGUUGAAUCAAGAUGGUUAUGUGAGUGCCACUUUAUAUCUUUAUUGGAGGAUUAGAACAUUAAGUAAAGGACACUCAAGACUGGUAUUGGCAAAACCAGUGUAGUACAGAAGAAUGCAGCUGUUAGCUUCCAGCUGUGACCAAUCAAACAAUUUGAAGAAAUUACCGCUGACUUGAUGCAAUAAAUUCUUCCUUUCAUUUCUCUGAAGUUGUUAGAAGUUGCUGUGUGUAAGAUCUUCUUUACCUCCAUCCUCCUCUGCAGCUGUCAUAGUAGAUCCUUAUAUGGAAAGUCACAUGAUCAAGUCAUUAUUUGUUCUGUUGUACUGAAAACAACUACAAACAAGAAUGUUCUUGGCACAGUUCAAUCUGUAGACUCUCAGCUCCCAUGGGACAGAGUGUUAGAUCAGGUAGCCACAUCUGUACUGCCAAAGAAGGAACCCUUCACUGUAGUUUACCUUAUAGAAUUUCCAAAUAGUUACCUUUUUUAUAGAUACUCUCAGAAACCAAUUACUCAAAUUACUCAAAAUACCAUACUUGGUGUCUAAGUUCCCCCAACAAAGUUUCAUUUCCUAGAGAAUGGAACAUAACUUUGAGUAAAGGAUGGUUGGGUAAGUUUAUCACCUUCGAAUUCAGUUGCUGGGAAGGAUUCUGUGAUGUGAAAAUGAGUGGAAGUUGUAAUAGGGAAUUUUGUUACAGUGAUAGCCCUUUAUAAGGUGGGAAUUGUGUUAAAGGGAAAGCCAGCUAUAAGGUAGGAAUUGUGUUAAAGUGAAAGCCAGAUAUAAGGUAGGAAUUGUGUUACAGGGAAAGCUGUCUAUAAGAUUGGAAUUGUGUUACAGGGAAAGCCGGAUAUAAGGUAGGAAUUGUGUUACAGGGAAAGCCAGCUAUAAGGUGGAAAUUGUGUUACAGGUAUAGCCAGCUAUAAGGUGGAAAUUGUGUUACAGGUAUAGUCAGCUAUAAGUUGGGAAUUGUGUUACAGGGAAGUCCAGCUAUAAGAUUGGAAUUGUGUUACAGGGAAAGCCAGAUAUAAGGUAGGAAUUGUGUUACAGGGAAAGCCAGCUAUAAGGUGGAAAUUGUGUUACAGGUAUAGUCAGCUAUAAGAUUGGAAUUGUGUUACAGGGAAAUCCAGCUAUAAGAUUGGAAUUGUGUUACAGGGAAAGCCAGCUAUAAGGUGGAAAUUGUGUUACAGGUAUAGCCAGCUAUAAGGUGGAAAUUGUGUUACAGGUAUAGCCAGCUAUAAGGUGGAAAUUGUGUUACAGGUAUAGUCAGCUAUAAGUUGAGAAUUGUGUUACAGGGAAAUCCAGCUAUAAGAUUGGAAUUGUGUUACAGGGAAAGCCAGCUAUAAGACUGGAAUUGUGUUAAAGCAUAUGCCUGUUCUAAGAUGGGAAUUGUGUUCGACAGAUUGCCCAUUUUAAGAUUGAAAUUGGGUUGAAUAGAUAGCCAGUUAAAUAUUGGGAAUUGUGUUACAGGGAAAGCCAGCUAUAAGAUGGGAAUUGUGUUACAGGGAAAGCCAGCUAUGAGGUGGGAAUUGUGUUACAGGGAUAGCCAGCUAUGAGGUGAAAAAUGUGUUGAAGGGAAAGCCAGCUAUAAGGUGGGAAUUGUGUUGAAGGGAUAGCCAGCUAUUAGGUGAAAAUUGUGUUGAAGGGAAAGCUUGUUAAAGUUGAGUGAAUUAGUUGAGGGGAGUAGUAGUAGUUAGUUAGUAGAGUAUUAGAGAAGCCAUGGGCCUUGUGAUGGCUAGUUAACUGAACGUUCAUUUGAGAAUGCUUGCUGGAUACUACAUUUUGUGUGUGUACUGGGCUCCUGCCAACAGGGAAGAUGUCUGCUGGGAAUGAAAGGGACCAGUAUGGUCGAUGAGAUGUGUGUGUGUGUGUGUGUGGAAUGUGGUAUGUUAGUCGAUAAGAUGUGAAUAUUCUGCAUGUGAUGUAUUACAUGUAUGUUUUGUAUGGAGCUUCUCACAAUAUGUAUGACAAUCAUAUUACAUGAAACUAUAUUUCAUGGUAAAUUGGUAUACAUGUUGAAGUUAGCAGGUCUUCUGUAAAUAUUGUACAAGUAUUUUUACAGAUAAACAUAUUUGUUGGGAA
rnacentral:lncRNA from 1 species